rnacentral:lncRNA from 1 species
GUGAUGUUUUAACGUACAGAAUAUUCAGCUUUACUAUGAUAUUUGUUUCUAAAAUUCUAGUUUAACUUUUAAACAAAUUCUAAUCUAAUUUUAAUCUGGUGUAGUUAGUUUCAUAUUAUUUGUAUGGAUAUUUUAAUUUUAAUUUUGUUUAUUUAUUUAUUUGGGUUUAUUACUGAAGUUUGUGAAUUAUGAAAACUCACAAAUAACUUAUAAAAUUUACAAACUAACAAAAUUCAAAACUGAAAAGUAUGGUUUAAGACCAG